CGAAGUGGGGGUGUGCAAGGUAACAGUAGGACUCUGCGGUGAACCAAGCCCCCUGGAAAGAUCACGGUGUGCGUAGGAGUCGUAACCAUUAGGAGACAUACUUUUUUCAGUUUGAAUAUCCAUUCAUCCAAAAAUAUCACUAAAAAUGGAAGAAUGCAGAAUGAAUAAUCCUAGGACAAAUCAAAUGUAGAACAUGAAGGUGGAAUUUUGCAUUUAAUGAUGUAUGUAAAUUAAAAAAUUUUUUUAGUAAUUUUAAAGGUUUAAAUAGUUAAAAAGUUUAGAAUAAUUUAACUUAAAUAUAAAACUUCUUAAAUUGUAUAGAAAAAGAUGCAACAGAAAUACUUUUUCUAUGAGACAAAUUAAAGAAUAAAAUAUAUUUAUUAUCUAUAAAAAUGGCCCACACAUAAACUAGACUAGCAAUGAUUUAAAAGUCUAUUUUCUCUGCGUCGCGUUUGAUUUAGUUUAAUAAUAAUCGAGAAUUAAGUUUUUAUGUUAAUUAACGUUGAGUAAAAUAUAAUUUUAAAGCGUAACAGAAAUUAAUACAUUGAUGUUGAUGUAUUCCAUUCAAUCCAGUAGAAGAAAAUUGAUAGCGGCUAAAAGUACAUUUAGCCAAUAAUAUAUUACAGAACUGCUUGCUCAUCAAUUUAUUUAUUAAAUUUUAUUAUAUUAAUAUUUGAUAAUAUAUUCCUAACUCGAGUAAUCGAGUUAUUUAAUUUCGGAAUCUUUCGGUUCGCGUGAACCGGCCGGUAAUAGAUAUGUCGCGUACGUUCGAUUUGAGUCGGGUCGUAAUUUUUACGAUAAAUUAAUUUUGCUUUUUACAUUUUGUACUAUAAAACUGCAACGAUUAUUAUUAAAAUAUAAUU